rnacentral:lncRNA from 1 species
GCAUUUAAAGAAAGUCAGAGGCGAGGGGGAGGCUACAGGAAAAAGUGGAACAUCUCCUGAAAGGUGACAAGUCGUGAUCAAAGGCAAGUCUCCAGGCAGAGAGUUGGCAGGUUUCCGAAGCAAAGGUUACUUAGAAGUGGAGGCUCCACUGCCAGCUUCCCCCCGCUGCAAAAUCUGACACUCCUCACCCUCAGGGUUCAGCAAGAUUCUCGGAAAGGCCUUUUCUGAUUCUAGGAGGUGCUGCAGCAGGAGCUGACUCGGCCAUUUCCUGGCCUCUUUAGUUGGAAGAUGACAGAAAGGCGGAAGCAGGGACUGCUAUUGUGAGGCCCAUGGCAGCCUUCCUGUAAAACAAAUUGGCAAAUUGUCACCUUCAGAUGGACCACAGCUGGCCCUCUGAACAGCCCUCCUUGGCCUUUCCAGAGUGUACAUGAUUGUGUCCCAUGUCCAGGGAGAGGACAGAGCCACCAGGAGGGUCAAGGUCGUGGAGGGAAACAUGGCUUGUUUCCCAUUGCAACAAGGCCUCCCACUGCAAGACAGAGAGGAAGAGCUCUGCCACCCAUGUGUGUAAGGCCAUGUGGAUACCUCAUGACAUCCUGGAAGGCCACAGGGCUGUGGCCGCCAUUCAACUUAGGUUGACAUGGCCAAGACCAUAGAGCUAAUGAGUGGCAAUGUUGAGCCUAGACCCUAAGUCUCUAGAUUCCUCCUGCAGGGCGCUGGGUGUUGUGGGGGCAUCUCUGAGGUGGGUCAGAGUGAACCUGCAGGGGCCACUUAAAACCCUUGCAGGCCUUGGCUACUUCUCCAAAGAAGCCCAAGCCAGAAUGGCAGUAGAAGUAUCUCCUGUGACCGCAAGCCAGGCACUGAUUCUUAGGUUGCUUCCUGGUCCUUCUGUAUGUAUUGCUAAGAGCAGCAGUGUUCUUUCUUGCCACAGAGUGAGUCCUGGUGCAUAAAUCUGUGCUCAUGUCACCCAGUGCUUUCACCUGCCUGUUCGUGAUAAUCCUGGGACAAGACCCUCACCUGCCUGCACGGGGGUGGGGAGGGGGGGCGUGAGGUCUAGAGACCCAAAUGAAGGCCUCACUAAAUGGACUUCCCUGAGGUGUCGGGGCCACUGGUGUGGUGCCAGGGCCUGUCUAUUCUUCCUGCUAGCCAAAGGCUGGCUUCUCAAGCUGCUGGAUGAAUGGAGAGCCUGGAGAUGUUGAACAAGUCACAUACGUCUCUGAUUGCCUCGAUUUCCCCAUUUUGGCCGAUGGCAUCGCUAAAGCAUUUGAUGAUUCCACCGUCAAGUGUGAGAGCUACAGGAGAUAAAAAUUUUAAAUUACUAAUCACCCAUGGUAAUGCAUGGUAAUGCAUGCUGAACAAACAGUGAGGAGGCCAGACGCCACCGGCAUUCCAAAACAGGAAGCACUCAGGAACUCUACCAGAGCAUGGCUGCCCUCUCCACAUCUGCACUACUGGACUGAGGGCUUAGUUGAUCCAUCUCUUCCACAGAUUUGCAGAGAUAUGCUCAAGUGUGACUUAAGUGACUUAUGGCUCACGUGUUGCCUCCCUAUGUCAAGCUUUUCACCCAGUGAGCUCUUUGAGAACAGGGGCUGCAUUUUAGGACAUCUAAAUGUCCAGUGUCUUCGUAGAACCAGGCAAGACACACGGCCUUGUUGGAAGUGCCAAACAUCUAUUCUUCAUCAGCAGAAUGGAUGAGCCCCUGAAAGGCAUGAGUUGAGCUGCGCAGUCUGAACUCAGGGAAGUCUUCGCAGCGGGCUCCCAAUUCCUGCCUCUCAAGAAGCAAGCUGAGCCUUAAAGAUGGCUGAAAAUGUGAACAGUCUCAGGGCCACGCAGACCCACCUGAGCAGUUGCUCUCUGAUGUCUCACCGAGCCAUCCACCAUCCCAGCGAAGAAAGGGCCUGCAAGCAGACCAGAAAAUGCCCCAUUCAGUCAUGCUGCUUAGUCAUGGCCCAAACCUGCAGCGUUUAAUUCUGCUCACUGUGACUUUAUUGCAAUGGCACACACAUUUACAUCACUUUAUGUGAGAUAACAGUAGAGAAGUUAGUUAGGUUUUUCUGUUUUUUGUUUUUUUAAGAUAAUGAGAAAAGUCUGUAAUAUUCAGCCAAAAUGUAUCCUUGUGGCUGGUGUAGAUUUUUGGCGAAAUGACACUGUACAUAAUCAGAAGAAGGCAAACAUGCAUAUUAUCUCCAUCUCCUUAUAACUGCACGAGAUAACAUAAAACUGCAGGAAGUAUCAAGCAUAAGAAUAAAAGCCGUCUAUUGAAGCCUACGUGGCAUCCCCUGCAUGCCCCAGGAACACCCUUUGGUGGAUUAGGAUGAGCACGCUGGAAAAUACACACCCUGCCGCUGCAUCUGGCUAAUGCCAGGCCCCAGCCCCCGUUCCUUAAGCCACAGAUCCCCUGAGUGUCUGUGUUGUGUCUGCUGGAAUUUAGUUUAGGCAGGUGACAUGGCUCCAAAGAAAGUCACAGGCUGGUUUCUGCUGCAGAGAUUUGUGUCCACUUCAUGCAUGUUUAUUGCCCGUUAACUCUAUAUGAAGCCACAGCAAAGGGGAAGUGAUGUUAGAGAGGUCACAAUCUAGUUAGUGGGGUCAAGACAAGAGAUGGAGACAGCAGGCCUUGACACUCUGGAAUCAUUCUGAUUUGUAAAUAUGACAAUUGAUGAAGGGGAAGAGUGCCUAGUCUCCAGGGGGGGAUUUCCUGCUGAGACCCACCAGGUAUACAGUCGGUCCUUUUCUGCAGUGACCCCAGAGACAUUUAUUGCAACACCUGCACAUCAGGUUGCAGCAACUGUGUUCUGCCUGGCCCAGGACAGACUCUGCUCCACCUAAGAGUCAGCCUCUCCAAGGCAGCAGUGGGGUUGGGAAGAGGGGAGGAGGGACCUCCAUGGUGCACCAGCUCCUACAGAGCCAGCUCAAGCUACAUUUCAGGACAUCUUGGAGGCUACUUCUGGACAAUUGUGGAUUAGCUAGGUGACAGUCCAGGAACCUGGAUCCCAUCCUGGCCAGGGAGUUGUGGCUUCUGAGAUGAGGACUUUGUGCAUUGGAGAUAAACUGAAGUGUUUCUGCCUCUGCCCCCUCCAGAGGCGGCUUAUGGCACAGGCUCACCAAAUUGCAGGCCCCAGAGCACCUGCAACCUCAGGGAGCUCAGGGGCUUCCCGGCAUGGGCAGGGGAAGCCACAGAUUCGCUUCUCCUGCAGAUGCACAGACCCUGGGGUGGACGGUCUAAAGCUCAGGAUCUUAUAAUGCAGAGAAGAUGGAAUAGAGCAGGAACCAGGCCCCUGUCUGGAGGAAGGAACCAAUAACAACAACAACAACAAAACUACUGACAAUGUGCAUGCUUUACAAUUUUCAAAGCGCUCUCAUCUCAGUCAAGGAAGGAUGCAUUCUUUCCACAGGCUGACGUUCAAAACCCAACCACCAGAAACACGAAGAUAAAACAAAAGGAACCACCAGAAACAAACAAGACACCUGUCCAUCCUCCAGGUUUGCAAAUCAGAUCAAGUUCUGACAACUGGUAAAGAGGAAGAUGAGAAGAUCCUGCCAGAUAAAUUCUCUGGUACCUUCAUUGAUCUCAUUCUUUCACCAUCAAAGGGGAAUGCAGUAGUGCCAGCAGGAGCAGAAAAAAAAAAAACCCUAAAAAGAACAAGAGAGACUAGUCAAAGCUAGUACAGUGUUUCCCUGGUACUGAGUCAUACUUUUACAAUGACCCAGGCCCACGGCCUCAACUGAUGACAAAUAAUGAGAAUCCAACAAUCAUUCUUUCUCGCAUAUUCACUUGUGAAUAAAUGCAAGAACUGGUGUAUUUGU